rnacentral:rRNA from 1 species
GAUGAACGCUAGCGGCGUGCCUAACACAUGCAAGUCGAACGUGAGAGGGUACUUGUAUCCUUGAAAGUGGCGGACGGGUGAGUAAGACGUAGGUGACCUGCCUCGAAGUGGGGGAUAACCAUUGGAAACGAUGGCUAAUACCGCAUAAGCUGGUGACGAUGGGAAUGGUUAUCAGGAAAGCUUUAGUGCUUUGAGAGGGGCCUACGGCCGAUUAGCUAGUUGGUGAGGUAAAGGCUCACCAAGGCGAUGAUCGGUAGCUGGUCUGAGAGGACGAUCAGCCACACGGGAACUGAGACACGGUCCCGACUCUUACGGGGGGCAGCAGUGAGGAAUAUUCGGCAAUGGGGGCAACCCUGACCGAGCAACGCCGCGUGGAGGAUGACGGUUUUCGGAUUGUAAACUCCUUUUCUCAGGGAAGAGCGAGGACGGUACCUGGGGAAUAAGUCACGGCUAACUACGUG